CAGGGCACCUGAUCAUUCAUGCCGCGUGAGUGAAGAAGGCCUUCGGGUUGUAAAGCUCUUUUGUCAGGGAAGAAACACCGGCUCUAACACAGUCCGGGAAUGACGGUACCUGAAGAAUAAGCACCGGCUAACUACGUGCCAGCAGCCGCGGUAAUACGUAGGGUGCGAGCGUUAAUCGGAAUUACUGGGCGUAAAGCGUGCGCAGGCGGUUAUACAAGACAGGCGUGAAAUCCCCGGGCUUAACCUGGGAAUGGCGCCUGUGACUGUAUGGCUAGAGUGUGUCAGAGGGGGGUAGAAUUCCACGUGUAGCAGUGAAAUGCGUAGAUAUGUGGAGGAAUACCAAUGGCGAAGGCAGCCCCCUGGGAUAACACUGACGCUCAUGCACGAAAGCGUGGGGAGCAAACAGGAUUAGAUACCCUGGUUGUCCACGCCCUAAACGAUGCUGACUAGUUGUUCGGGAUUUACAUCCUGAGUAACGUAGCUAACGCGUGAAGUCAGCCGCCUGGGGAGUACGGUCGCAAGAUUAAAACUCAAAGGAAUUGACGUGGACCCGCACAAGCGGUGGAUGAUGUGGAUUAAUUCGAUGCAACGGGAAAACCUUACU
rnacentral:rRNA from 1 species